AUUGAACGCUGGCGGCAGGCUUAACACAUGCAAGUCGAACGAGUGGCGGACGGGUGAGUAAUGCAUGGGAAUCUAGCUACUGGAGGGGGAUAACUACGGGAAACUGUAGCUAAUACCGCGUACCAUAGGAUGAGCCCAAGUGGGAUUAGGUAGUUGGUGGGGUAAAGGCUCACCAAGCCGACGAUCCCUAGCUGGUCUGAGAGGAUGACCAGCCAAUCUGGGACUGAGACACGGCCCAGACUCCUACGGGAGGAAGCAGUGGGGAAGAUUGCGCAAUGGGGGAAACCUGAGGCAGCCAUGCCGCGUGAAUGAAGAAGGCCUUCGGGUUGUAAAGUUCUUUCGGUAGAGAGGCGUUAACUACAGAAGAAGCACCGGCUAACUACGUGCCAGCCGCCGCGGUAAUAC
rnacentral:rRNA from 1 species